rnacentral:rRNA from 1 species
CCUACGGGAGGCAGCAGUGGGGAAUUUUGGACAAUGGGCGAAAGCCUGAUCCAGCAAUGCCGCGUGAGUGAAGAAGGCCUUCGGGUUGUAAAGCUCUUUUGUCAGGGAAGAAACGGUGAGAGCUAAUAUCUUUUGCUAAUGACGGUACCUGAAGAAUAAGCACCGGCUAACUACGUGCCAGCAGCCGCGGUAAUACGUAGGGUGCAAGCGUUAAUCGGAAUUACUGGGCGUAAAGCGUGCGCAGGCGGUUUUGUAAGUCUGAUGUGAAAUCCCCGGGCUCAACCUGGGAAUUGCAUUGGAGACUGCAAGGCUAGAAUCUGGGCAGAGGGGGGUAGAAUUCCACGUGUAGCAGUGAAAUGCGUAGAUAUGUGGAGGAACACCGAUGGCGAAGGCAGCCCCCUGGGUCAAGAUUGACGCUCAUGCACGAAAGCGUAGGGGAGCAAACAGGAUUAGAUACCCUGGUAGUCCACGCCCUAAACGAUGUCUACUAGUUGUCGGGUCUUAAUUGACUUGGUAACGCAGCUAACGCGUGAAGUAGACCGCCUGGGGAGUACGGUCGCAAGAUUAAAACUAAAUUGAAAUUGACGGCGAGAGAGUAGACGAGGACGACACGAGGGGAGGAGG